rnacentral:ncRNA from 1 species
CAGUGGUUGUAUGCACGUGGCCAUGUGAGAGCAUUUCGAGAGGGAGAGUUGACUCUCUCCCCACUCUCGGCCGUACCAGGACAUUUGGGGGCAUUAAAUUAAAGAAAUCCUUAGAUGAUGGUGGUAAUGUCAGAUUUACAGUCAUUUUAUGAGAAUUAUUUCAUUUUAGUCUAUCAUUUUUGCGCUGUUCUUGUAGUUUAUUUACUUUCCAUAGUGUCAUUUGUUUUUUUCUUACUAGUUGAGAUUAUGAUUGCAGCUAAGCAACAACGAGAAUAUCAUCAUAAUUCAACAGCAAAUGAAUUGCAGUGUUUAACUGUGGAUGCAUCACCAGUCCCUAUCAAACAACAACCUCAAUUGACUUUGUUGAAUAAUAGUAAUGUUAAACUAUCCACAUCACCAUCGCCAAGGUUGUCGUCCCCUUCAAUAUUGAAUGCUACAAACCAAUGUUUGACUACUGCUAAUACUACUCCUGGUGCUGCAGUUAUUGUCAUUGUUACAAGGUAGUGUCAUCAGUAUGUUGUUGAUUGGUGUUUUUUAUUUGAGAACAGGUCUGUGAUGCCCUUAGAUGUCCGGGGUCACACGCGCGCUACAAUGACGGUGCCAGCGAGUGUGAAAACCUGGCCCGAAAGGGUUGGGCAGACUGUUUCAUUACCGUCGUGACUAGGAUCAGGGCUUGCAAUUAUUCCUCGUGAACGAGGAAUUCCUGGU